GAUGAACGCUGGCGGCGUGCUUAACACAUGCAAGUCGAACGAAGCAUUUGCGACAGAUUUUUUCGGAAUGAAGUUGCUUAUGACUGAGUGGCGGACGGGUGAGUAACGCGUGGGUAACCUGCCUUGUACUGGGGGAUAGCAGCUGGAAACGGCUGGUAAUACCGCAUAAGCGCACAAUGUUGCAUGACAUGGUGUGAAAAACUCCGGUGGUAUAAGAUGGACCCGCGUCUGAUUAGCUAGUUGGUGAGAUAACAGCCCACCAAGGCGACGAUCAGUAGCCGACCUGAGAGGGUGACCGGCAACAUUGGGACUGAGACACGGCCCAGACUCCUACGGGAGGCAGCAGUGGGGAAUAUUGCACAAUGGAGGAAACUCUGAUGCAGCGACGCCGCGUGAGUGAAGAAGUAAUUCGUUAUGUAAAGCUCUAUCAGCAGGGAAGAUAGUGACGGUACCUGACUAAGAAGCUCCGGCUAAAUACGUG
rnacentral:rRNA from 1 species